CAGUCACCUGCUCCUCAGAUCAGAAGGUGAUUGUGGCUUUGGUUUGAUAUGAAACAGCCACAGCACUGCCUGGUCAGAAAGAGCAAGUGUACU
rnacentral:pre_miRNA from 1 species